rnacentral:rRNA from 1 species
AAUGAACGUUGGCGGCAUGGAUUAGGCAUGCAAGUCGAGCGAGAAGGGUUUUGAAGCUUGCUUUAGAACCCGGAAAGCGGCGAAAGGGAGAGUAACGAGUAGUUAUCUACCCCAAGGCCCGGAAUAGCUGCGGGAAACUGCAGGUAAUGCCGGAUAAUAUCCCCGGAUCAAAGGUGUGAUUCCGCCUUGGGAGGAGACUGCUUUGUACUAGCUUGUUGGUAGGGUAAUGGCCUACCAAGGCUACGAUGCAUAGCGGGCGUGAGAGCGUGGCCCGUCUCACUGGGACUGAAACACUGCCCAGACACCUUCGGGUGGCUGCAGUCGAGAAUCUUCGGCAAUGGGCGAAAGCCUGACCGAGCGAUGCCGCGUGCGGGAUGAAGGCCCUCGGGUUGUAAACCGCUGUCGUAGAGGAGAAAGGUCUCGUGAAGAGCGAGAUUUGAUCUAUUCUAGGAGGAAGUCGGGGCUAAGUUCGUGCCAG